GACGAACGCUGGCGGCGUGCUUAACACAUGCAAGUCGAACGGAAAGGCCCUGCUUUUGUGGGGUGCUCGAGUGGCGAACGGGUGAGUAACACGUGAGUAACCUGCCCUUGACUUUGGGAUAACUUCAGGAAACUGGGGCUAAUACCGGAUAGGAGCCCCCGCUGCAUGGUGGGGGUUGGAACGUUUCGGCGGUUGGGGAUGGACUCGCGGGUUAUGAGCUUGUUGGUGGGGUAGUGGCUUACCCAGGCUUUGGCGGGUCGCCGGCCUGGGAGGGGGACCGGCCACAAUGGGACUGAGAGACGGCCCAGUCGCCAACGGGAGGCAGCAGGGGGGAAUAUUGUACAGUGGGCGGGAGCCUGUGGCAGCAACGCCGCGUGCGGGAUGACGGCCUGCGGGUUGUAAACCGCUUUCGCCUGUGACGAAGCGUGAGUGACGGUAAUGGGUAAAGAAGCACCGGCUAACUACGUG
rnacentral:rRNA from 1 species